CCCAAACCGCGCGAGGAUGGGCAGACCGCGGCCGCCCUCCCACGUGGCAGGAGGUGGGGUUCCAGAGGGAGGCUCCGCCUACGGCCCAUGUGGCUGUGGCUGGGGCAGGGCAGGACAGUCUUCGAGCCCCGCCCCGCCCCGCCGGUAGCUGUCGUCAGAGCCCGGGGACCCAGUGGCGAGCCAUGCAGGGCGCUGCCGGCCUGGGCCUCUCCCGCCGGCGGGCUCCGAGGCUGGCCCCUGGCCCUGUGCCCGGCGGGCGGGACUGGUUCUUCCAGCAGACUCCGUGUCCAGGGCUGUGAAAGGAACCUGCUCUACCCUGUGCGAGCGUCUCUCACCCGCUCCCGAAAGAAGCGGACAAUAAUGCAAACGGCGCCCGGGAAAUAGGCAAACCGGGGCGGGCUGGCGGUGGAAGCUGCAGGGCUGAAUGAAGAAACUGCUGCGGCUUGGAGUGCUACUGCCUUGUGCAUCUGUGAGCUCCGGCCAAGGUCUGAUCCCUCGUGGAACAGAAGGAAGGAAACUUGAAUGGAAAACAGGAGAAUGCAGGGGUCUUCCUAUCCUAGCAUCUUCCUGGAAAGCAGCCCUGUCCAGCUGUGACAGAAAUGCUACUGAGAGGUCCCCACAGUGCAGUAGGCACAGUGGUUCUCACACUGCAGAUCUCAGACUAAUUAGCCCUCCUGAAUGCACUGAGGGCUAGAUUCCCCUCCAGCCCUGCCUGCUGGCCCCUUCACAUCAACACUGGAUUAGGCCAACAGGGAAGGGUGUGCGCAACUUACCCAGAAUAACAACCCAAGCACCAGG